AACGAACGCUGGCAGCAUGCCUAACACAUGCAAGUCGAACGAGACCUUCGGGUCUAGUGGCGCACGGGUGCGUAACGCGUGGGAACCUGCCUUUAGGUUCGGAAUAACUCAGAGAAAUUUGAGCUAAUACCGGAUGAUGUCUUCGGACCAAAGAUUUAUCGCCUUUAGAUGGGCCCGCGUUGGAUUAGCUAGUUGGUGGGGUAAAGGCCUACCAAGGCGACGAUCCAUAGCUGGUCUGAGAGGAUGAUCAGCCACACUGGGACUGAGACACGGCCCAGACUCCUACGGGAGGCAGCAGUGGGGAAUAUUGGACAAUGGGCGAAAGCCUGAUCCAGCAAUGCCGCGUGAGUGAUGAAGGCCUUAGGGUUGUAAAGCUCUUUUACCCGAGAUGAUAAUGACAGUAUCGGGAGAAUAAGCUCCGGCUAACUCCGUG
rnacentral:rRNA from 1 species